rnacentral:pre_miRNA from 1 species
AGUGAAAUUGCUGGGUCAAGUGGUAUUUCUACGUUUAUUUUUUAAGGAACUUCCAAGCUGUUUCCUAAAGUCUGUGCACCAUUUUACAUUCCCACCAGCAAU